rnacentral:lncRNA from 10 species
GGUUACGCAGAGCGCGCUGGGGCAGGGCUGACCUUCCCCUUUCUCUACUUCACUGGCCUCCUCCAGACGUGGUGGUUGCGCCCUUUCGGCCUCGCUUUCCGUUUUUUGGCUUCAUCCCCUAGAUCUGCAAACAGUUCCUCGUGUUUCUUCCGUUAGCCGGGAAACGCGAACUGCAGCGUUUGGGACCCGGGUUUGCGCGUGUGGAAAGCAAAAGGGGUUACUCUGCUGGAGUUCGACAUUGCAAAUAAAGGUCUUUAUCCCCGGCGGUUCUACAAAAUUAGUUCUGCAGGGAUUCUGGUUGAAAGAAGCGUUAAAGUGGGCCUUGUAGGAGUCAGCAAUAAUCCAAUUUUACAUGGGUGCAGGUGGCUGCCUGUGUCUAGCGCUUUCACACAUCUCAUAUCUUCAUCCACGCCGUGGGUAUUUUUUUUCCACGGUGUGUUUCUGUUGCUGCCUCCAGUAUAUUGCUUAAUCAUCCUACCUGGGUUGAGUUUGUGCAUCGAUUGUGAACACAACAGGCAGCAGGCUAUAAUGGUGGUCCUGGCUGGAGUAGUUUUCACAGACUUCAGUAAUCUGUGGAGAUGAACGGGCAGUUCUCUGUAGUUUUCACAGAUCACUGCCAGUUCGUUUUGAGGCCUUCAGGAGUGAAGACCUGGCUCAUCAUCACUCUUUGUUGUUUUGUUAAAUUUAUUUACACCCUACUUUAUUCCAGAGGAAAGGAUUUAACGUAGUUUACAUAAAUGUGUACAUCAGGGUAAAUUAAAAAUAAGUACAGAGAAAAAUAGGACAAAAGAAAACCGUGAGUGUGAAAGAUAAGAUUAAGCCAGCAGUUUUGUAUGCAAAAUGCAUGGUGUAAGGUCCUAUUGGUUUGCUGGAGGUAGGCCACACAUAUGACUCUCAGUUUUCUAGCAACCAAGAAAAAGAUCAGUUGCAAUCGGAGUAGGUGUUUUGGCUAAGCUGGAACUAGGACUUGAAUAUAGCAGCUUGUAGAGUUAUACCACUUGCCCAAAUCUCUUCCAUGAGCCUCUUUAAGUGUAACAGAAUGCCUGGGAGCACGUAAAUGCUCCUACUUAGAUGCCUACUUAGCCUCUAAUUUUCAUGGGGCCCAUGAAUCCCAUGAAAAAGAACUUUGAACCCUGUCCACAAUUAGAGUUCAGGUAUACGCAGACAUGUUUAAAGACAAGGGACACCCAAAGGAAAGAUUGCACAGAGAGAAAGUGAGCAUCCGAGAGAAAAUCACCACAAGUGAGGCAGAGGGAGGCCGGUCUCAGCAGAGUUUUGGAGGUCGUGAGAAGAAGAGGUAGGAGAUAGGAGAGUGGUUCCGAGUACUUGCCUGCUGAUGUUACCUUCUCCACCCCCACCAGGUUUUCCAGUGCCUGGAGUCUUGGGCAGGAAUGGGCCACUGUAAGAAAGAGCUUUAUCACUAGGGCCUCAGCCAACUUUUCUGUGGGAUAUCCCUCCAAAAUAAUUAAGAGUUCAGAAUGCUUCAGAUUUUGAAGUGAAACUGGUACAUAUAUUAAGUGUUACUUAAUAACCCGAUAGUUUCUAGGGCAGCUCACCAUAAUCCCAAGUAUUAGCCACCACCCUCACCCCCUUCAGAGUAAAAUGUGUUUCCUGAAGGAAGUUGGGAAAAUGAAGAAAAAAAAUACAAAAAUCACCUAUAAUCUUACCAGUCAUAGAUGGCAGUUUUCCUGUCUUAUUUCUGAAUAAUGGUUGUUAAACAUUUGCCAGCACACCAUAAGGCUUAGGGAGGCAUCUGGGUCAUGCAUGUUAAUAUCCUUGGGUAAUUCCAGAAAUCUCUAUGAAGGGAAACUCCUGUUAUUUAUCUAGACUUCCUGAUUGCAAGGGGUUUGGGCAUCAUGAUUUAGGGGUCUUAAUAAAAUUAUUAUUUUAUUUUUACUAAUAGAUAAUGUCUGUGCCUAUCAGAUAAAGGCAAACCAGUGCUCAGAGGAACCCAACCAUCUCUGAAUUGAGACCAGAGAGCUGUCUCUAUGGAUAGUCCUUAGAGAAGGCAUUUCGGAACACAGUAAACAGCAGCCUGGUGACUCCGAUUACAGGGCCAGUUGCCUUUGUUACAAUAAAAGCAAGUCAUCUACACAGAUUUUUCCUACCAGGAAGAGCAUGUGCUGACCAACAGACAUGAAUUUCAGCCUGGUAGUUACAACAUUCACAGUAUACCCACAUCACUAAGCUGGGAGGCACAUUUUGAGACCCAGAAUCCUGACACCUCCAUGCCUUCAAAAGGACAAACUGCGGCCUGGACCAGCUGGUGAAACAUAAUUCUGAAUCCUGCCCACAGCCUUCGGUGGUUUUGGAUGAAAGGCCAGCGCCUUGGGAGCCCUGCGUUUGAUUUCAAGUUUUAAGGCCGGCACUGGUGGAGCAAUGAAUGGUGAAAGCUCUCCCCUUAAAGGAGCACAGUUGCCUUUAGGUGACUGCUAACUCAGGCUUUUGCUGAGGACAGUGUUUACUUUGUGAGCUUAAUGACAGGGCUGGCUUUCUGGGAGUGUUGCAAUGAAACAGACUCAGACACAGGCCAUCAUGGGCCUCCUCCCUAGCAAGGCCGCCACGGCUGGCAUCUCAAGAGCAGUCCGUUGAACUUGGGAUUUGGGUGUGAGACACAGUUUCAUCAGAAGAAUUUAAACCAAAGUCUACAUUUGCCCUCUAGAUAAAUGUGUGUGUUCAGCAGCAACCACAACUCCUUGCCUCAUUCUCUUGGUUGAUUAUGUGACUGUGAGAAGAAAAGCAAAAGCAAAAAUGCGAAGCGUAGCUAUGAUGCUAUUUUAGUUAAAAAUAUUCUGGUAGAAUUUGAAGGUACCAUAGAGAUUACCUACAGAUGGAAAAAACUGAAGGUCAGAGAUGGGAAGUGCCUUGUCCAAGAUCACACAGCAUAUAAGGGAAGAAGUAGGACUGAAAUCCAGAUUUCUCUGUUCCUGUUCCUGUUUUCUCUUUUCUUUUUUUGAGACAAGGUCUCACUCUGUCGCCCAGGUUGGAGUGCAAUGGUGCAAUCUCGGCUCACUGCAACCUCCAACUCUUAGGCUCCAGAGACCAUCCUACCUCAGCCUCUUUAGUAGCUGAGAUCCUGGCUAUUUUUUAUUUUUGGUAGAGAUAGGGUUUCACCAUGUGGCCCAGUCUUGUCUUGAACUCCUGAGCUCAAACGAUCCACCCACCUUGGCCUCCCAAAGCGUUGGGAAUAUAGUGUGAGCCACUGCACCCGGCCAGGUCCUGGUCUCUUUUCAUUAUUAUACAGCUGUCAACAAUCAUGGAGAGUUCUUUUUCCCUUUUGUUGGGUUCUUGUUCCUUUGCAAAGUCUAUAAAGAACCAAGAUGAUCCAGGAAAUUCAGGGAGUCCUCAUUCACUUCCAAAGGCAGUUUGUUGUCUGUUGGCUGUGCUGUAUGAAUUGCUGUUUCAAUUAAGUUUUUCAACAUUUCCUAUGAAGGCAUGCAAAUGACCACUGAUUCUAAAUAAACCCAUUUAGGUAUUCAGGGUUUAUAAAUAUAGAGAAUCUUGCUUUCUGCCUCAUUCUUUCUGUCUUCCCUGGCAUUCUUCCCUCUAUCCACCUCCACUGAGAUGCAUUUUUAUAAAAGACUUUACUUAGGACACAUAUUUUGAUGAAAUCCUUAACAUUUUUCUUCUUUCCCAAUUUUUAUAUUAUCAUUGUUAUAAUGCAUUACAAUAAUUUAUAUUUUGCAAAUUUGUUUUAAUAUGUUAAUUUUGCAAUGUAACUAUCUCAAGGCUUCUAAUGAGGAGAGGAGGAGGCCACAGAUAGGACUAGAUAGAGAGACUUUUAAAGAUGUGGGUAGGGUGUUUGUGAAUGUCUGGGCAGUGGAAUAUUUAUGCAGCACUGUGGGUGUUUUGAACCCUCUGGAAACUAACAAGCAAGCUCCACACAUAAACUUGGUGGAAGUCCUCCAAACUUUGGACAACACAGAGGCCUUUCAGAAGUCUGAACCAAGUCCAAGUCAAAUUACA